GCCCGGCUGGCGCAAUGGUAGCGCGCUAGACUUCUAUUCAUGAGAUCUAGAGGCUCCGGGUUCGAGUCCCUGGUCGGGUG